rnacentral:lncRNA from 1 species
GCGUGGUCUGCGGGGGGCGGGGCCUAAAAGAAAAAGCAUGGCUGAAAGGAGGGUUGGACCGGACGAGAUGGAGACUAGAGAACCCUAGUAACUAGGGAUGCGGGGUGGUGCCUGAAAGAGGGGUGAGGGCUGGACUAAGGAAAACAGUGUGCACGGGGUUGAGGGAGAAUCCCAGAGAGGACCCUACCUUUAACCUUUCCCUAUAUCCCUAGGGCUGCGCGCGGAGCCUCCAGAAGUGGUUGCACAACAACCUCAUCUCCAUAGUAGGCAUUUGUCUGGGCGUCGGUCUACUUGAGGUAAUUUGGUCCCGCCCCUAUUUGCGAUUAGCCCUACAAUCCCUAGAUGGCUCCGCCCCCAAAUUGCGCGCCUUCCCAUUCUCCGGGAAAGGUGCAGGCGUGAUAGAGCUUCAGCCAAUCCAGGCUCUUCUGCCUCACCGCACAAGACCUAUCUUCUGUGAGCCCUGAUUGGUUGUGCGCAGGGAGUAGGCGUUCCCGCCUCCCUGGGCGUUCUAGCGCUCUGCUCUUAGCUGCAAUAUUCCUCCCUUUUCCCUGCAGGUGAGUGUGGCGGGGCUGAGCCUGCUACUACUGCGUAGGGCGCUCUGCCGGGAGCGCCAGCUGCAGGUGCCGGACGCCUAUGGUUCGAGCCCCGGGCUUGGUCCCAGGGCUGAUGGCGGAGGCGGCGGGCGCUGUGGUGUGCUGAGCAGCAGCGGGCGUAGCGGCGGUCUCUGGGGUGGCUGGGGCAUGGNGGCGGACGCCUGUCCCAACUGGGGGGGCAAGUCCCCACAGGUCAAGCUGCCCAUGGCCCUGGGGCCCUGGCCGCUUUGGGAUCAAGACGAGGAACAACCUGAGAACGGGAGCGUGGAGGUGGAGGUCGAGGUGGAACUAGCGGCCGAGGGAGAGGGGGAGACAGAUGAGCCUCCGGAAUAAAGUACCCUGGGCUAUCUCCGGAUCGCACUCCUUCCCAGACUCCAAACCUGCGCUAGACGCAGCUGGGCACCUCUACCCCACCCUAUUCUUCUUCCCAUCCUCCCUCUCUCUCCCUCGCGUCUUUAGUAACUAACCCCAAGCCUCCAAAUUCCCAUCCCUGAUCCCAUCUUUCACAACCUGGCCCAGCUCUCCCUCUAGCCCCACCCACCUUCUACUCCCUUCUCCGCCCCCCAUGACCGCGCCCCCAACCCAAAUCUCCUUGCUUUAUUUUUAUCCCCUGGCCCCACCCCUUUUUCUCCCUCGGGACCCCCAUCCUCCCUACCCCCAUCACCCUCGCCAACAUCCCCUGGACCUCUCUGACCAGGUCUCCUUUCUCUAUAGCUCAGCUUCAUGACGCUCUCCAUAUUCCUGUGCAGAAACCUGGACCAAGUCUACGACCGGCUUGCUCGGUACCUCUAGGCCCCGCCCUUCCCAAAGCCCCGCCCUGACCCCUUCAAGUGCCCCAGAGGCUUCCCUGUGGUGUGUAAAUAUUUGUUCAACCCCUUUCGCCCCAGCCAUUGAGUCCUCAACCUCCUCAUUUCCCCGGGGACCCAGAUGUCUGCCUGCCCAUCUGCUGUCACCUCUCCCGCGGGACCUGAGGCUUCUGGUCACCAGCUUCCUGCCCCCAAAGAUACCUCAUUUCCUUGCCUCAUGUGUUGGCCUACCGCACCUCCCACAGGAUUAUUUUUCGCCCAAACCCCAAAUAAAUCCCCUGCGUUUUGGUAAAAUAGUUUUAUCCUCUGUCAAAACAUGAACCAACACACUUUGCGGGUGAGGGGAGGCAACACAGCAUAGCCCACGUCUUAUUUAGAAGAGAGGAUGAGAUUAAAAGACUCACCCCACUGCUUGCCCAGCUGAGAAAAAGUCACAACCCUAAUACCCACUUAUAAAUAUCUCUUGUUAUAUUAAAAAAAAUAUUUCCAGGGCCCACCUGGCUCUGCUCCGGCACAGAAAGGGUUAACCUUCAAUAUUCGAUCUUGAUCUUAAGGUCACAGGGUGAGGGUGGUAAGGAGAGGCAGGUUGGGAAGAAAGGGAGAUGGGGGUGUGCUGAAAGACACAGGGACAAACCAUAUCAAAGCCCCCCCCCCCUUCAAAACAUCCAGAACCAAGUUGGGGGAGGGCACCUGUUAAGAGACUGAGAAACCAGUGCUAUACCUCAGGGUUGUCUCACUCCUGUCCCCAGUUCCCAUGCUCUGGAGUGACCUGUCCUUUCAGACACCACUGUGAAGUCCCAAUAUCAGGAUCCAACCUUCCAGCUUGCCACCCAGCUUUGUAAGGUCCCCUCUAACAGGGAUCAGCACCCCCUCCCCAAAUAAGCAUGAAGAAAGCUGGGGGUCCUUCCUGGAAGGAGGGUAUUCCGGGCAUGAGCCACUUUUGGGGUCCCCUUUCAGUCCCUGACCAGACGGUAAAUGUGGUGCUGGGCCCCCCGCUCGCUGGUGGAGACCUCAAAGACGUAGGCAGUGCAGAGCAGCAGCUCCUGGGUGUCUCGGUUUGUUACCACCUGCCAAGGAGGCCAAGAGAAAGGGUUUAUGCAAAAAACAAAAACAGAACAAAGAGGGAGACUGGGGACCACUGUGCCCUCCCCAAGGUGCCAUGGAAUACCCAGGGAAGAGGUCCCCACCUUAUCACAUUCCCUGACAUGUCAGUUUCUUCAUUCGAGUGUUGGCAGUGAGGAGACUCACAUGAGGUGGCAUAUCAGAGGUAAAGGAGUCCCACCGGAUCAUGUUCCCUGAGCUAAGGUUAGGUUCCCUAUGGAGGAGGUCCCUUAAACUGAG